rnacentral:rRNA from 1 species
AGUGAACGCUGGCGGCAGGCCUAAUACAUGCAAGUCGAACGGCAGCACAGCAGAGCUUGCUCUGUGGGUGGCGAGUGGCGGACGGGUGAGGAAUACGUGGGAAUCUGCCCAGUCGUGGGGGAUAACGUAGGGAAACUUACGCUAAUACCGCAUGCGCCCUUCGGGGGAAAGCCGGGGACCUUCGGGCCUGGCGCGAUUGGAUGAGCCCACGUCGGAUUAGCUAGUUGGCGGGGUAAAGGCCCACCAAGGCGACGAUCCGUAGCUGGUCUGAGAGGAUGAUCAGCCACACUGGAACUGAGACACGGUCCAGACUCCUACGGGAGGCAGCAGUAGGGAAUAUUGGACAAUGGGCGCAAGCCUGAUCCAGCCAUGCCGCGUGAGUGAAGAAGGCCCUCGGGUUGUAAAGCUCUUUGUCCGGAAAGAAAAGCGCCGGGUUAAUACCCUGGUGUCCUGACGGUACCGGAAGAAUAAGCACCGGCUAACUUCGUGCCAGCAG